UACGGAGGGGGCUAGCGUUGUUCGGAAUUACUGGGCGUAAAGCGCACGUAGGCGGCUGUUCAAGUCAGAGGUGAAAGCCCGGAGCUCAACUCCGGAAUUGCCUUUGAAACUAGAUAGCUUGAAUCCAGGAGAGGUGAGUGGAAUUCCGAGUGUAGAGGUGAAAUUCGUAGAUAUUCGGAAGAACACCAGUGGCGAAGGCGGCUCACUGGCCCGAUACUGACGCUGAGGCGCGAAAAGCGUGGGGAGCAAACAGG
rnacentral:rRNA from 1 species